UCCGGCUUAUCACCGGCAGUUUUGUUAAAGUGCCCAGCCAAACCUGAUGGCAAUUAACGAUGAGGGUUGCGCUCGUUGCGGGACUUAACCCAACAUCUCACGACACGAGCUGACGACAGCCAUGCAGCACCUGUGCGGACGCCACCCGAAGUGAAAGAUAUCAUCUCUGAUACCUAUACGUCCCAUGUCAAGAGCUGGUAAGGUUCUGCGCGUUGCUUCGAAUUAAACCACAUACUCCACCGCUUGUGCGGGUCCCCGUCAAUUCCUUUGAGUUUUAAUCUUGCGACCGUACUCCCCAGGCGGAAUACUUAAUGCGUUAGCUGCGACACUGAUCAUAUGACCAACAUCUAGUAUUCAUCGUUUACAGCGUGGACUAC
rnacentral:misc_RNA from 1 species